rnacentral:rRNA from 1 species
UACGAAGGGGACUAGCGUUGUUCGGAAUUACUGGGCGUAAAGCGCACGUAGGCGGAUUUGUAAGUCAGGGGUGAAAUCCCGGGGCUCAACCUCGGAACUGCCUUUGAUACUGCAAGUCUCGAGUCCGAUAGAGGUGGGUGGAAUUCCUAGUGUAGAGGUGAAAUUCGUAGAUAUUAGGAAGAACACCGGUGGCGAAGGCGGCCCACUGGAUCGGUACUGACGCUGAGGUGCGAAGGCGUGGGGAGCAAACAGG